UACGGAGGGUGCAAGCGUUAUCCGGAUUCACUGGGUUUAAAGGGUGCGUAGGAGGGCAGGUAAGUCCGUGGUGAAAUCUCUGAGCUUAACUCAGAAACUGCCGUGGAUACUACCGGUCUUGAAUACCGUGGAGGUGAGCGGAAUAUGUCAUGUAGCGGUGAAAUGCUUAGAUAUGACAUAGAACACCAAUUGCGAAGGCAGCUCACUACCCGAAUAUUGACUCUGAGGCACGAAAGCGUGGGGAUCAAACGGG
rnacentral:rRNA from 1 species